rnacentral:tRNA from 1 species
GUUGAUAUGUCCGAGUGGUUAAGGAGACAGACUUGAAAUCUAUUGGGCUAUGCUUGCGCAGGUUUGAACCCUGCUGUCGACA